CGUUGAUUUCACACUGCCGAGAAAAGCCUCUAGAUAGAAAAUAGGUGCCCGUACCGCAAACCGACACAGGUAGUCAAGAUGAGAAUUCUAAGGUGAGCGAGCGAACUCUCGUUAAGGAACUCGGCAAAAUGACCCCGUAACUUCGGGAGAAGGGGUGCUCUUUAGGGUUAACGCCCAGAAGAGCCGCAGUGAAUAGGCCCAAGCGACUGUUUAUCAAAAACACAGGUCUCUGCUAAACCGUAAGGUGAUGUAUAGGGGCUGACGCCUGCCCGGUGCUGGAAGGUUAAGAGGAGUGGUUAGCUUCUGCGAAGCUACGAAUCGAAGCCCCAGUAAACGGCGGCCGUAACUAUAACGGUCCUAAGGUAGCGAAAUUCCUUGUCGGGUAAGUUCCGACCCGCACGAAAGGCGUAACGAUUUGGGCACUGUCUCAACGAGAGACUCGGUGAAAUCAUAGUACCUGUGAAGAUGCAGGUUACCCGCGACAGGACGGAAAGACCCCGUGGAGCUUUACUGUAGCCUGAUAUUGAAAUUCGGCACAGCUUGUACAGGAUAGGUAGGAGCCUUUGAAACGUGAGCGCUAGCUUACGUGGAGGCGCUGGUGGGAUACUACCCUAGCUGUGUUGGCUUUCUAACCCGCACCACUUAUCGUGGUGGGAGACAGUGUCAGGCGGGCAGUUUGACUGGGGCGGUCGCCUCCUAAAAGGUAACGGAGGCGCUCAAAGGUUCCCUCAGAAUGGUUGGAAAUCAUUCAUAGAGUGUAAAGGCAUAAGGGAGCUUGACUGCGAGACCUACAAGUCGAGCAGGGUCGAAAGACGGACUUAGUGAUCCGGUGGUUCCGCAUGGAAGGGCCAUCGCUCAACGGAUAAAAGCUACCCCGGGGAUAACAGGCUUAUCUCCCCCAAGAGUUCACAUCGACGGGGAGGUUUGGCACCUCGAUGUCGGCUCAUCGCAUCCUGGGGCUGUAGUCGGUCCCAAGGGUUGGGCUGUUCGCCCAUUAAAGCGGUACGCGAGCUGGGUUCAGAACGUCGUGAGACAGUUCGGUCCCUAUCCGUCGUGGGCGUAGGAAAUUUGAGAGGAGCUGUCCUUAGUACGAGAGGACCGGGAUGGACAUACCUCUGGUGUACCAGUUGUCGUGCCAACGGCAUAGCUGGGUAGCUAUGUGUGGACGGGAUAAGUGCUGAAAGCAUCUAAGCAUGAAGCCCCCCUCAAGAUGAGAUUUCCCAACUUCGGUUAUAAGAUCCCUCAAAGAUGAUGAGGUUAAUAGGUUCGAGGUGGAAGCAUGGUGACAUGUGGAGCUGACGAAUACUAAUCGAUCGAAGAC
rnacentral:rRNA from 1 species